GACAGAGGUGCCAAGCGUUAGGCGGAAUCACUGGGCUUAAAGCGUGUGUAGGCGGAUUGGUAAGUACCUUGUGAAAUCCCACAGCUCAACUGUGGAACUGCUCGGUAUACUGCUUAUCUUGAGCCACUUAGGGGCUGUCGGAACAAAUGGUGGAGCGGUGAAAUGCGCAGAUAUCAGGAGGAACACCGGUGGCGAAGGCGGCUUGCUGGGCCAGUUCUGACGCUGAGGAGCGAAAGCGUGGGGAGCGAACAGG
rnacentral:rRNA from 1 species